AAUGAACGUUGGCGGCGUGGAUUAGGCAUGCAAGUCGAGCGAGAAGUUCCCUUCGGGGGACGGACAGCGGCGAACGGGAGAGUAACGCGUGGAGUACCUACCCUUGGACCCGGGAUAGCCGUGGGAAACUGCGGGUAAUACCGGAUAACGUCUCCGGACCAAAGGUGUGAUUCCGUCUGAGGAUGGCUCCGCGUCCUAUUAGCUUGUUGGUGAGGUAACGGCUCACCAAGGCGACGAUGGGUACCGGGUGUGAGAGCAUGACCCGGCUCACUGGGACUGAGACACUGCCCAGACACCUACGGGUGGCAG
rnacentral:rRNA from 1 species